GCCAAUAGCGCCUUAUUAAAUGUUUGUACAUCUCUAAAUCCCAGACCUCCAUUUUUAAAGGAUUUUGUCAUUUUUCUCCAGGAGAUCCAACACAUCUUCUUUUUGCCAUUACUUGAAUCCCACCAGAAUCUGGUUAGAGCAGAUUGAAUACGCUUGCAGAGGGAGUUGGGAAUAUGGAAGCAAGACAUAGUAUAAGUAGGCAUAGCAGCCAAGACAGAUUUGAGCAUAGUGAGUUUACCCGCAGAGGAGAGAAACCGAGAAGAUCAGCUCAUGGCUCGCUGCUUAAUCCGAUCCACUAUCUGAC
rnacentral:lncRNA from 1 species